GUUUCCUGUCAGACAAACAACAAGCAGACGGGGCUUCCGCUUCAGAGUUCACGGAGUUUAGAGUUUACUGAACUCUAUUUUUGGAGAAACAAUAGAUUAAUCUCCGCGAGCUCACUCUGAUAAUCCCGCGAGACAGCACGGCCCAAUCGAGAGCAGAGCGAGAACAACACUGAUCCGUUCCAGAGGAAGCCGAGCUAAUCUGAGCUAACUACUGUGGCGUUUUCAAGCGGACUAUCGUCAGCUAUCACGGUGACCGCUUCUCUUACCGGUACAGAUGAGCCUCUCGGGGAAAAGGGAGAACGGUCCGGUCCAAGCGCGACCACAGGUGAACCGGACGGACCGCUAACUCCGUUUGGAGCGUCGGGUUUAUGACGUUUAUCAGAGGGGGGGGAAGUCACGUGAUCACAAGACCUCAACAAUCGAAUCUGCUGAUGAGAUCAAAGUGCCAGAAAUGUAGGUCAUUUUCGACACUCGGGUUGUGGAAAACUCUUCAAAUAAAAUAAAGAAAAUUCACGCAGAUUCGACUAAUCUUUAAUCACUGACGUCAGUAAGAUUACCUGAAUUUAAAUGAACAUUACUGGAAUAAACAUUGGGAAAAAAGAGCUUUUAGAAUCCUUCAAAUGAGGUUUCUUUUUUUUAAAAUCAAACAAAAAAAUACUUUAUAUUAAAUAUUCUUCUAACCUAAUGCAUACAGAAGACUUUAGUGAAAAAUAUAAAAACGUAUAUUUAUAAAAGGGUCUCCAAAAUGUGUCAUUUAGUAUUUUUUGUUUCAUUACUGCAGAUUAAAUGCACCAGUUUUUCCCUGAUUCUGCUAUCAAGCUUUGUAAGACCUAAACUGAUAGAAUCCUGGAUUUGGAAACACAUUACUUUAAUAAAAAAAAAAAAAA